rnacentral:rRNA from 1 species
UGGGGAAUUUUGGACAAUGGGGGAAACCCUGAUCCAGCCAUCCCGCGUGUGCGAUGAAGGCCUUCGGGUUGUAAAGCACUUUGGCAGGAAAGAAACGUCAUGGGUUAAUACCCCGUGAAACUGACGGUACCUGCAGAAUAAGCACCGGCUAACUACGUGCCAGCAGCCGCGGUAAUACGUAGGGUGCAAGCGUUAAUCGGAAUUACUGGGCGUAAAGCGUGCGCAGGCGGUUCGGAAAGAAAGAUGUGAAAUCCCAGAGCUCAACUUUGGAACUGCAUUUUUAACUACCGGGCUAGAGUGUGUCAGCGGGAGGUGGGAUGCCGCGUAUAGCAGUGAAAUGCGUAGAUAUGCGGAGGAACACCGAUGGCGAAGGCAGCCUCCUGAGAUAACACUGACGCUCAUGCACGAAAGCGUGGGGAGCAAACAGG